rnacentral:rRNA from 1 species
AGUUCCAAUAGCGUAUAUUAAAGUUGUUGCGGUUAAAUAGUUCGUAGUUUAAUUUCUGCCGAGGACGACCGGUCCGCCCUCUGGGUGAGUAUCUGGCUUGGCCUGGGCAUCUUCUUGGAGAACGUAGCUGCACUUGAGUGUGUGGUGCGGUAUCCAGGAGUUUUACUUUGAGGAAAUUAGAGUGUUUCAAUCAGGCAUGCGUCUUGAAUACAGUAGCAUGGAAUAAUAAGAUAGGACCUCGGUGCUAUUUUGUUGGUUUAUAGAGCUGAGGUAAUGAUUAAUAGGGAUAGUUGAGGUAUUCGUAUUUAAUUGUCAGAGGUGACAAUCUUGGAUUUGUCAAAGACGGACUACUGCGAAAGCAUUUGCCAAGCAUGUUUCCU